AUACGUAGGGGGCGAGCGUUGUCCGGAAUGAUUGGGCGUAAAGGGCGCGUAGGCGGCCCGGUAAGUCUGGAGUGAAAUCUCCCGGCUCAACCGGGAGCGUGCAUCUGAAACUGGUACACUUGAGUGCUGGAGGGGAAAGCGGAAUUCCUAGUGUAGCGGUAAAAUGCGUAGAUAUUUGGAGGAACACCAGUGGCGAAGGCGGCUUUCUGGACUGCAACUGACGUUGAGGCGCGAAAGCGUGGGGAGCGAACAGGAUUAGAUACCCUGGUAGUCCACGCUGUAAACGAUGGAUGCUAGGUGUGGGGGGUAUCGACCCCCUCCGUGCCGGAGUUAACGCAAUAAGCAUCCCGCCUGGGGAGUACGGCCGCAAGGUUGAAACUCAAAGGAAUUGACGGG
rnacentral:rRNA from 1 species